rnacentral:rRNA from 1 species
AUUGAACGCUGGCGGAAUGCUUUACACAUGCAAGUCGAGCGGCAGCGCGGGGCAACCUGGCGGCGAGCGGCGAACGGGUGAGUAAUGCAUCGGAACAUGUCCAUGUCGUGGGGGAUAGCCCGGCGAAAGCCGGAUUAAUACCGCAUACGCCCGAGAGGGGAAAGUGGGGGACUCGCAAGGGCCUCACGCGAUUGGGUUGGCCGAUGUCCGAUUAGCUAGUUGGCGGGGUAAGAGCCCACCAAGGCGAUGAUCGGUAGCUGGUCUGAGAGGAUGAUCAGCAACCCUGGGACUGAGACAAGGCCCAGACUCCUACGGGAGGCAGCAGUGGGGAAUUUUGGACAAUGGGGGCAACCCUGAUCCAGCCAUUGCGCGUGAGGGAAGAAGGCCUUCGGGUUGUAAAGCUCUUUUGUCCGGAACGAGACGGUACGGGUGAAUAUCCUGUGCUACUGGCGGUACCGGAAGAAUAAGCACCGGCUAACUACGUGCCAGCAGCCGCCGUAAUAC